rnacentral:rRNA from 1 species
UACGUAGGGGGCAAGCGUUGUCCGGAUUUAUUGGGCGUAAAGAGCGUGUAGGCGGCCAUGCAGGUCCGUUGUGAAAACUCGAGGCUCAACCUCGAGACGCCGGCGGAAACCGUAUGGCUAGAGUCCGGAAGAGGAGAGUGGAAUUCCGUGGUGUAGCGGUGAAAUGCGCAGAUAAUCAGGAAGAACACCCGUGGCGAAGGCGGCUCUCUGGGACGUAACUGACGCUGAGACGCGAAA